GGGCCCGCACAAGCGGUGGAGCAUGUGGUUCAAUUCGAAGCAACGCGCAGAACCUUACCAGCCCUUGACAUCCCGGUCGCGGAGAGCAGAGACGCACUCCUUCAGUUCGGCUGGACCGGAGACAGGUGCUGCAUGGCUGUCGUCAGCUCGUGUCGUGAGAUGUUGGGUUAAGUCCCGCAACGAGCGCAACCCUCGCCCUUAGUUGCCAUCAUUUAGUUGGGCACUCUAAGGGGACUGCCGGUGAUAAGCCGGAGGAAGGUGGGGAUGACGUCAAGUCCUCAUGGCCCUUACGGGCUGGGCUACACACGUGCUACAAUGGCGGUGACAGAGGGAUGCAAAGGGGCGACCCUUCGCAAAUCUCAAAAAGCCGUCUCAGUUCGGAUUGGGGUCUGCAACUCGACCCCAUGAAGUUGGAAUCGCUAGUAAUCGCAGAUCAGCACGCUGCGGUGAAUACGUUCCCGGGCCUU
rnacentral:rRNA from 1 species